AGAGGAAGUUUUCGGAUGGAAUCAGUAUAACUUAGUGGCGGACGGGUGAGUAACGCGUGGGAAACCUGCCCUCCACAGGGGGAUAACGCACCGAAAGGUGCACUAAUACCGCAUAAGACCACGUUUCUGACAUGGGGAUGAGGUCAAAGGAGCAAUCCGGUGGAAGAUGGGCUCGCGUCUGAUUAGCUAGUUGGUGAGGUAACGGCCCACCAAGGCGACGAUCAGUAGCCGACCUGAGAGGGCGGACGGCCACAUUGGGACUGAGACACGGCCCAAACUCC
rnacentral:rRNA from 1 species